rnacentral:rRNA from 1 species
AUUGAACGCUGGCGGAAUGCUUUACACAUGCAAGUCGAGCGGCAGCGCGGGGGCAACCCUGGCGGCGAGCGGCGAACGGGUGAGUAACAUAUCGGAACGUACCCAGUCGUGGGGGAUAACUAUCCGAAAGGAUAGCUAAUACCGCAUACGUCCUGAGGGAGAAAGCGGGGGAUCGCAAGACCUCGCGCGAUUGGAGCGGCCGAUAUCGGAUUAGCUAGUUGGUGGGGUAAAGGCUCACCAAGGCGACGAUCCGUAGCGGGUCUGAGAGGACGACCCGCCACACUGGAACUGAGACACGGUCCAGACUCCUACGGGAGGCAGCAGUGGGGAAUUUUGGACAAUGGGGGCAACCCUGAUCCAGCCAUGCCGCGUGAGUGAAGAAGGCCU